rnacentral:rRNA from 1 species
AAUUAGCGGAUGACUUGUGGCUGGGGGUGAAAGGCCAAUCAAACCGGGAGAUAGCUGGUUCUCCCCGAAAGCUAUUUAGGUAGCGCCUCGUGAAUUCAUCUCCGGGGGUAGAGCACUGUUUCGGCAAGGGGGUCAUCCCGACUUACCAACCCGAUGCAAACUGCGAAUACCGGAGAAUGUUAUCACGGGAGACACACGGCGGGUGCUAACGUCCGUCGUGAAGAGGGAAACAACCCAGACCGCCAGCUAAGGUCCCAAAGUCAUGGUUAAGUGGGAAACGAUGUGGGAAGGCCCAGACAGCCAGGAUGUUGGCUUAGAAGCAGCCAUCAUUUAAAGAAAGCGUAAUAGCUCACUGGUCGAGUCGGCCUGCGCGGAAGAUGUAACGGGGCUAAACCAU